GAGGGUAUAGCUCAGUGGUGGAGCAUGUGCUUAGCAUGCAUGAGGUCCUGGGUGCAGUCCCCAGUACCUCCA
rnacentral:tRNA from 1 species